rnacentral:snRNA from 1 species
AAACCUGCAGUACAGGUUUCCCCUGCAAAUUCCCCAAAUGUGGGAAUCUCCACUGCAUAACGUCUAGUAGUGGGGGGCUGCGUUCACGCUCUCCCUUG